UACGUAGGGUGCGAGCGUUAAUCGGAAUUACUGGGCGUAAAGCGUGCGCAGGCGGUUUUGUAAGCCAGAUGGGAAAUCCCCGGGCUCAACCUGGGAAUGGCAUUUGGGACUGCAAGGCUGGAGUUUGGCAGAGGAGACUGGAAUUCCCGGUGUAGCAGUGAAAUGCGUAGAUAUCGGGAGGAAUACCGAUGGCGAAGGCAGGUCUCUGGGCUAUAACUGACGCUCAUGCACGAAGGCGUGGGGAGCAAACAGG
rnacentral:rRNA from 1 species